ACUCGCAAUUCGGACUUUAUAACACGCAAUUGCGACUUAUUUUAUACUUUCAGAACCCAACAGCUCUCAAUUCUCAUAUAGUUUAGAACGAUUAUUAAAACGUUAGUAAUUGUCCUUGGUGUGAACGGGCCUAGAAAAUCAGCCACCAUUUUUGUUGUUCUGAUUGGAUUGUCAAAAGUAAAUAUAGGCUAUUUUUACACAAAAUUCAAUUACAUUUAAAUGUAUUAUUUGCUGACUAAAACCUGAUGCAAUCAUGUGUCAAAUUGUGGAGUAAUGCUUGCUGUUUCACUCACUACUUUUUAAAAAUGACAUUGUAUACAGCAAGUUGUAGUAUGCUAGUAUCCAUUCCGAACAUAGUCUUUGUGUCCUGUGGUUAAAAUGAAGCAGUUGUGUGUUCUUACGGUGCAUACAAUGGGGUCCAAAAGCUAAAAUGGUUCAAUUUAGCAUUUUUCAAGAAUAAUACAUUUCAUUACAAAUCAAAUUAAGAAUAAGUGGAAAGUAUUUCCAGGUUUAAAUGAAAACUAAACAAGCAAUGUGGUCACAAACUUGUAACCCUUUCCUAAAAGAAGGUUGGGGUUGUAAAAGGCUUUAUUUUUAAGAGUGGGGGUCGUGCUGUGUGGUUUGGUCUAACUUUCGGGGGAACGAGGAGAAGCCCCCUGUCGGUUCACUGGAGUCCUCACGCUAACCUCCGCAGAGAGGUGUCAGCUGUCACUGUGUCCUUCAUUCACCACGUGUCCUUUCUGUAUCUCAAUAUGUCAGCUUCUGCAAUACCGAUGUCAUCCAAGCUUAGAGAAGAGCUGCGUUUUAUUUUUCUAUCUGUGGUAAUGGAACGUUAACCAAAAGCAUUCUGUAUGAACGUCUGUCCUGGUGCAACGUCUUGCUACUACACACAUUUACCUGUCAAAAAGUGCCUGAAGCAUCAUGUUAAUCGAUCUCCUUGUAUACUAAA